ACCUCGGUAGUCUAAUGGCUUAGGACGCUCGUACGGAAUACAAGAGAUCCAGGUUCGACUCCCGGCCGAGGUA
rfam:Trachymyrmex zeteki contig13964, whole genome shotgun sequence.